AAGACACUAGUAAAACUGAUCAUUACGCUGCCUUGUCGAGGCAGAAUUGUGGGUUUGAGUCCCGCGCGUCUUG
rnacentral:tRNA from 1 species